rnacentral:rRNA from 1 species
AGCAGCCGCGGUAAUUCCAGCUCCAAUAGCGUAUACUAAAGUUGUUGCAGUUAAAAAGCUCGUAGUUGAAUUUCGGGGUCAAUAAGUUGGUCAUGCCAAUGGUAUGCACUGGCUUUAUUGAUUCCUACCUCUUGACGAACUGUGAUGCCAUUAAUUUGGUGUUGCAAGGAAUCAGGACUGUUACCUUGAAAAAAUUAGAGUGUUUAAAGCAAGCUUACGCUUGAAUACAUUAGCAUGGAAUAAUGAAAUAGGACGUUUGAUCCUAUUUUGUUGGUUUCUAGGAUCGACGUAAUGAUUAAUAGGGAUAGUUGGGGGCAUUAGUAUUCAAUUGUCAGAGGUGAAAUUCUUGGAUUUAUUGAAGACUAACUACUGCGAAAGCAUUUGCCAAGGAUGUUUUCAUUAAUCAAGAACGAAAGUUAGGGGAUCGAAGACGAUCAGAUACCGUCGUAGUCUUAACCAUAAACUAUGCCGACUAGGGAUCGGAUG